UCCCGGGUCUUGUACACACCGCCCGUCACACCAUGGGAGUCGGAAAUGCCCGAAGUCAGUGGCCUAACCGCAAGGGAGGAGCUGCCGAAGGCAGGUCUGGUGACUGGGGUGAAGUCGUAACAAGGUAGCCGUAUCGGAAGGUGCGGCUGGAUCACCUCCUUUCUAAGGAA
rnacentral:rRNA from 1 species